CAUUGAAAUACCAGUUCCCGUACGAUCAUCGAAGUUAAGCAACGACGAACCCGGCCAGUACUUAGAUGGGUGACGACUUGAGAAUACAAGGUGUGGUAA